UACGUAGGGGGCAAGCGUUGUCCGGAUUUAUUGGGCGUAAAGAGCGUGUAGGCGGUCCGGUAAGUCCGUUGUGAAAGUCGAGGGCUCAACCCUCGAAUGCCGGCGGAUACUGUCGGACUAGAGUCCGGAAGAGGCGAGUGGAAUUCCUGGUGUAGCGGUGAAAUGCGCAGAUAUCAGGAGGAACACCAAUGGCGAAGGCAGCUCGCUGGGACGGUACUGACGCUGAGACGCGAAAGCGUGGGGAGCAAACAGG
rnacentral:rRNA from 1 species